GUGGGGAAUAUUGGACAAUGGGCGCAAGCCUGAUCCAGCCAUGCCGCGUGUGUGAAGAAGGCCUUUUGGUUGUAAAGCACUUUAAGCGAGGAGGAGGCUCCUUUAGUUAAUACCUAAAGAGAGUGGACGUUACUCGCAGAAUAAGCACCGGCUAACUCUGUGCCAGCAGCCGCGGUAAUACAUAGGGUGCGAGCGUUAAUCGGAUUUACUGGGCGUAAAGCGUGCGUAGGCGGCUUUUUAAGUCGGAUGUGAAAUCCCUGAGCUUAACUUAGGAAUUGCAUUCGAUACUGGAAAGCUAGAGUAUGGGAGAGGAUGGUAGAAUUCCAGGUGUAGCGGUGAAAUGCGUAGAGAUCUGGAGGAAUACCGAUGGCGAAGGCAGCCAUCUGGCCUAAUACUGACGCUGAGGUACGAAAGCAUGGGGAGCAAACAGGAUUAGAAACCCCUGUAGUCC
rnacentral:rRNA from 1 species